rnacentral:rRNA from 1 species
UACGUAGGUGCGAGCGUUGUUCGGAGUUACUGGGCGUAAAGAGUGCGUAGGCGGUUUUCUAAGUUUGGUGUGAAAUCUCCCGGCUUAACUGGGAGGGUGCGCCGAAAACUGGAAGGCUUGAGUAUGGGAGAGGUGAAGCGGAAGUUACCUGGUGUAGCGGUGAAAUGCGUAGAUAUCAGGAGGAACACCUGCGGUGUAGACGGCUUACUGGACCAUAACUGACGCUGAGGCACGAAAGCGUGGGUAGCAAACAGG